GGGCCGGUAGCUCAGCGGUAGAGCAUCUGACUUUUAAUCAGAGGGUCGCGGGUUCGACACCCGCCCGGCUCACCA
rnacentral:tRNA from 1 species